AUACUAGCCUGUCAGGGGAGAUGCCAUGAUGACAAAGGUGGUGUUUCCAGGGUGAGGCUCAUCCAUUGCACUCCGGAUGUGCUGAACCCUGCGAUGUCCCCAAAUGCGGGAAACUGGACUGCCUAAUUUGUGGUAGUGGGGGACUGCGUUCACUCUUUCCCCUG
ensembl:snRNA U1 U1 spliceosomal RNA